rnacentral:hammerhead_ribozyme from 1 species
AUCCAGCUGACGAGUCGCAAAUAGGACGAAGUGGCCUGCUUCCUGGAU